rnacentral:misc_RNA from 1 species
GAUGAAGAACGUAGCGAAAUGCGAUAAGUAGUGUGAAUUGCAGAAUUCAGUGAAUCAUCGAAUCUUUGAACGCACAUUGCGCCCUUUGGUAUUCCUUAGGGCAUGCCUGUUCGAGCGUCAUUUAAACCUUCAAGCUAAGCUUGGUGUUGGGUGACUGUCCGCUUCACGGCGGACUCGCCUCAAAAUUAUUGGCGGCCGGUACAUUGGCUUCGAGCGCAGCAGAAACGCGAACUCGGGCCCGUCGUAUUGGCUCCCAGAAGCUAUCUUCACAAUUUUGACCUCGGAUCAGGUAGGACUACCCGCUGAACUUAAGCAUAUCAAUAAGCGGAGGA